rnacentral:rRNA from 1 species
AUGCUGCUGUUGUUGUGCUCCUCUACUCCUCCCCUGGUUAAUGCUGCUGCUCUUGUGCUCCUCCACUCCUCCCCUGAUUCACAGCAAGCACCAUGUCCUCCCAGCCAGAGAUAUCCCAAGUUGUUCGAUCAGCUCAAGCUGCAGAAGAAGCUGAUGAGCACUAUGACCCAUUCAAAGAUCCUAAGAGGAGGCCAACAAAGAGCAAGGAUCCAGCAUGGAAAUAUGCAUUCUGGCCAGAUCUUAACAAGAGAUUGUUGCUGCAAUGUAAUUUGUGCGGCAAGCAAAUUACCUCUGGACCUUGUAGGAUGA